rnacentral:tRNA from 1 species
CGGCGUGGUGGAGCGGUAUGGGCCGUCGGCUGACGUUCGACGACUCGUAGCGGCCGCCGGCGCCGCGCCGGCCGCGCCGC